rnacentral:rRNA from 1 species
UUAUAAGAGACAGCAGCCGCCGCGGGAAUACAGAGGGUGCGAGCGUUAAUCGGAUUUACUGGGCGUAAAGCGUGCGUAGGCGGCUAAUUGAGUCGGAUGUGAAAUCCCCGAGCUUAACUUGGGAAUUGCAUUCGAUACUGGUUAGCUAGAGUGUGGGAGAGGAUGGUAGAAUUCCAGGUGUAGCGGUGAAAUGCGUAGAGAUCUGGAGGAAUACCGAUGGCGAAGGCAGCCAUCUGGCCUAACACUGACGCUGAGGUACGAAAGCAUGGGGAGCAAACAGGAUUAGAUACCCGGGUAGUCCCUGUCUCUUAUAC